GUGCCACCAGUCGCGAAAACUCCACAAUGUGGGAAACCACGAUGGGGGAACUCCCAGUGCGCACACUUUGUGUGCGCUGUUCUCCUGCCUAAAAAGCAGGAGAAGUAAGGGCCGGGUAAGACGGGUGCCAGCCGCCGCGGUAAUACCCGCGGCCCGAGGGGUGCUCAUUAUUAUUGAGCCUAAAACGUCCGUAGCCGGUCGGGUAGAUUCCUGGGUAAAUCGAACCGCUCAACAGCUCGAAUUCCGGGGAGACCGCCCGACUAGGGACCGGGAGAGGCGUGAGGUACUCCUGGGGUAGGGGUAAAAUCCUAUAAUCCCGGGAAGACCACCAGUGGCGUAGGCGGUCGGCUAGCACG
rnacentral:rRNA from 1 species